rnacentral:misc_RNA from 1 species
GGCAACUCUAAGAAGCGAUCGGCGGCAGCAACGCCGUCGCCUCAACAGCAGCAGAAACACCACGCAGCCAUGGAAGAAGAGGACCUAGACGAGGAUGUAUUUCUCGAAGAGACAUUGCUUCAGUACGAAGAAGAUUCACAGGUCCUUCGUGAGCUCGAAGAGAGCAAUUCCAUAAAGGAGAGGCUUCAGAAGUGGAAACGUCCUUCUCUAUCUCAAGCUUACAUCGCUCAGACACAAAGCAUAUCGUUUCA